rnacentral:lncRNA from 1 species
UCGCAUGCAAUAAUAUCAAACAAUAACUACCAUAACUAACAACCAUUAGGGGGACAUAAGCUAAAACACAAAUCAUCUAUGGGUAUCCCUGCUGACCCACACCCAACCCCGGUUGAGGCGUACGAAGAACUCUAAGAGCCCCUAACCUACAACCCUGAUUCUAGACCUCCAGACUCUCCUAAGCCCACACCCAACCCCGGAAGAGGCGUACGAAGAACUCUAGGAGCCCCUAACCUACCACCCUGAUUCUAGACCUCC